UACCUUGUUGAUCAUGCCAGUAAUCAUAUGCUUGUCUCAAAGAUUAAGCCAUACAUAUGUAAGUAUGAACAAAUUCAGACUGUGAAACUGUGAAUGGCUCCUUAAACCAGUUAUAGUUUGUUUGAUGGUAUCUACUACUCGGAUAACUGUAGUAAUUCUAUAGAUAAUGCAUGUAACAAACCCUGACUUUUGGAAAGGAUGGAUUUAUUAGAUAAAAUUUGAUGAGAGCUCUGCACAUUGCUGCAAUGAUUAAUGAUAACUCGAUGGAUCGCAUGACCAUCAUGCCGGUGAGAAAGCCUGAGAAAUGGCGACCACAUAAAAGGAAAGCAGUAGGUACACAAAUUACCCAAUCUUGACACGGGCAGGUUGUGACAAUGAAUAACAAUAUCGGGCUUAAUGAUUCUAGUAAUUGGGAUGAGUACAAUCUAAAUCCCUUAACGAGGAUCUAUUUGAGGGAAAUUUUGGUGGCAACAACCAUGGUAAUUCAAGCUAUAAUAGCAUAUAUUUAAAUUGUUGUAGUUAAAAAUCUCAUAGUUGUACUUUGUAAUGGGCCAGCCAGCCUUCCUAUGGUGUGCACCGGUUGUCUCACCCUUUUUUUGGCAAUUCAUUCCUGGCCUUAAUUGGUCGGGUCAUUCCUCUAGCUCUGUUACUACGAUGAAAUUAAAGUGCUCAAAUCAAGCCUAUGCUCUGUAUAUAUUAUCUUGGGAUAACAUUAUAUUAUUUCGGUCCUAUUACAUUGUCCUUCAGGAUCAGAGUAAUGAUUAACAGUGACAUUCGGGGGCAUUCCUAUUUCAUAGUCAGAAGUGAAAUUCUUAGAUUUAUAAAAGACUAACAACUGCUAAAACAUUUGCCAAGGAUGUUUUCAUUUAUCAAGAACAAAAUUUGAGGGCUAGAAGAUGAUCAGAUACCUUCCUAGUCUCAACAAUAAAUGAUGUCGACCAUCGAUGGACGGAUGUUGCUGUUAGGACUCUGCCGGCACCUUAUGAGAAAUUUUUGUUUUUGGUUUGUAGGGGGAUUACGAUCGCAAGGUUGAAAUAUAAAUGAAUUGAUGGAAGGGCACCACAAGGAGUGGAUCAUGUGGCUUAAUUUGACUCAAAACGGGGAAACUUACCAGGUCCAUACAUAGUAAGGAUUGACAGAAUAAGAGCUCUUUCUUGAUUCUAUGGGUGAUAGUGCUUGGCCGUUCAUAGUUGGAGGAGCUAUUUUUCUUAUUAAUUCUGUUAGCGAAUGAGACCUCAGCCUGCUAACUAUCAAUAUGGAGGUAUCCCUUUGUGGCCAGCUUCUUAAAGGGACUAUGACCUUUUAGGCGAUGAAAGCUUGAGAUAAUAACAGGUUUGUGAUGCCCAUAGAUGCUCUAGGCCGCAGACAUGCUACGCGGAUAUAUUCAACAAGUUUAUAGCCUUGAACAAAGGUAUAGGUAAUCUUUUAAAUUUCAUUAUGAUGGGGAUAGAUAAUUGUAAUUGUUGGUUUUCAACAAAGAAUUCCUAGCAAGCGCGAGUCAUCAGCUCGUGUUAACUACAUCCUGGCCCUUUUUACACGCUGCCCAUUGUCCCUACCGAUUGAAUGAUCUGGUGAAAUUUGGGUUGCAAUGAUAUGGGCGGUUCGCUGCCUGUUACAUCAAAGAAAGUCCAUUGAACCUUAUCAUUUAUAGAAAGAAGAAGUCGUUGCAAAGUUUUCGAAGCUGAACCUGUGGAAGGAUCAUUG
rfam:Capsicum annuum cultivar Zunla-1 chromosome 6, whole genome shotgun sequence